GGCCCUGCCAUUCAGUCGUCGUUCUAGAAUCUGCGUAGUGCAUGGAUUUGUUGCGUGGCUUCUAGAGAAAGCACAGUGGAAAGAGAGAGAGACUCCAUCGAGUGCAGCCAGAUACAAACGGUUCAUUCUACUUUCGGUUUUGUUCUCGGAUACAGACGCAGCGUGAAGAAACCCCUGAGGUUGUUUUUGUGUUCUGUGUUUGAUAGAGAGAGAGAGAGAAAUUAGAUCCAGAGAUAGAGAGAGACGGAGAAGGAGAGAACCAGAGAGGAGGCCCAUCAGGAUUUCGUCAAGGUUGACCAGUUUCUAUGCAAAGAAGUAUUUUGAUUGUUUUCUUGCCACUGUUCCUGUUUCUGUUCUUUGAUAUUGGUUCAUUGUUCCGUCUUGAUUCAGUGCGUUCGUGAAGGUUCGAUUGAAGGCUGGCAUCGGACGAAUAUAUCGAUCUUCAUCGUUAAUACUAGUGGAGCAAGAUUCUGAACAGAUUACAAGUAAGACAGUUGUUGCCCAAGGGCGGGUGAUUGAAGCAGAUGAUAUAUACGGUUCGUAUUUGUUUUUGUGCCCGUGAGGCAUAAGCUCCUCCACUAGUUGCUGCUUCGGAUUGUGAGAGAAUAAUUACUGUGCUUCGGGUGGUUUUGGGUUUAGAGUUAUCUCUCAAGGAAUGAGUUUUUCCUCUGUAAAGGUCUGAUUCUCAAUUUCUAACAAUGCAAGUAAUUUGAAUAUGUGUGUAUUUUUUAAUGAACCCUGCAUUACAUGCAAGCAACCUUCAUUGCUAUUUCAGUAGAAUGAAGUCAUAAUUAUUAAAUUAUAUCUUAACAAAAGCAAAUUCCGCGGCAAAGCGCGGCCAACUUUUCUAGUCUUACUCUAUAUGGCAUUAAGUUUUAUGAGUUUGAGACUUUGGGCAUCUUAAAAUACAAAUGGAUAAUAAUAAGAAUGAGCUAUGGACGGGCUUUGUGAUUUGGGUUUGGACUUUCUUUACUCCUAAUCUUAAGGCCCAUUAUAUGUUGAAAUAUUUGCCUCGCUUCGAACGGGCUUGGCAGUCCGUAUAAUCAUCCCCAGAUACUACUUACCCAAUCGACCUGCUCCUCCGGCCUAACCACGUCGGAGCCCUUCACGGUGACGUCGGCACCGUUAAAUUGCCAUUUCGGAUUGACCCAAAAACCCCGUUCGCCACAACCCGGUUCAAUUCACAUCUUCACAAACUGAUACAGGAAUAGUAUACAUAAGCUAUGGAGGGAGAUACAGUGCGCAGUGAACAUCAGGAGGAAGAAGAAGAAGAAGAAGAAUAUGUAUUGCUUGACCUUGAUUCUGUUUACUCCCAGCUUCAGAUUCCACCAAACGCACCAUAUGUACUUUCAGGUUUGGAUACAAUGCAACCGGUAUUGAUUCUAGAUGGCAAAUUUAAGUUGAUUGGUCAGUGGGAUGAGACAAUUGGGACAUGUCUUUUUUUCAAAGAGGAAGUUGUUCCUGUUGUUCAUGAAGAAACAGGACCAUCAGAAGCAAACCUUUUUGCUGGCAAAUGCAUUGUUGAUCAAAAGCAAUCUUCAAGCAAGCAAGUAAAACCAGUUGGCCGUACUCAUAGGAUUCUAAAAUUCAGAUUGGCACCAGAUUUUGACCCUCCUAAUACUGCAUCCGCACAGACUGAGCAAGUAAAUUUGUAGAUCUUUUGUAGCAACUCUUAAGAGUGAAACUGGUAUGAGAGGUUUAUACCUAUGUUGAUGUUACUAGCUUAUUUGCAUAAUUCUCCUUGUAAAGGUCUAUUCUAACAAGAUUAAAACUACCCUUUAUUUCAACUUACGUGAAAUUAAGGGUGUUUCUAAAAACACAUGUAGAUAUGCAAUUCAAUUCUUAGUGCUUAAUAUCGAGUGGAAAUGUGAAAAGCUUUAAUGUG